AAGAUAACACAGCACUCUUGAGAUGACAGCUCAGGUAUGCAGUCUGCCGGCCCAAGCCCCAUGGAACUGUGGGAAGGAACGCAAGUGAUUCUCCUAUUGGACAGGGGCAAGUGCAUGGAAAAGGAUGAUGGUGAGGCUGAAAGCAGGAAAAGAUUUGACCCAUCUCCCAGGUUGGGCCCAGGCCAGAGGUCUCUACCAGCAAAGAGGAUAAAAGAGACUACACCUGGACAAACCCUCCCAGGCCCAGGCCUGAGCCUCACAUGUGGCCCCGGGGAAGGCAUCAGGGACUCCCUUUGCCCUCCCACUGACCUCCCUGCAAACCUCCCCCAAACCAAGGGGCAUCCUCAGCUGGCCAGACCCUGGGGGAAGGGAGAGAGCCGAGGAUCACCGGCACCUGUGGCUGGGUUACCCCUGCCAUGGACCACUGGGUGAUCAAGAAGUCAUUCCAAAAUGUGAAGCGUUCUGAAGAUAUGCACAUAGCGUAAGAACCUGGUGUAAUGUGCUGGUCAAGGCGGUCUCAGAGAGGAGAUGACGUUUGAGCUGACACCUGAGGGAUGAGAAGAAAGCAGCCAUUCCCAGGGCCCAGGGGAGGCAUCCCAGGAAGCCGGAUCAGCAUGAGCAAAAGCCCUGAGGCCUGGCACAAGUUGGUCUGCUUGAGAAGCAGGAGAGAGCCCUGAGCAUCCGGAGUGCAGCAAGCGAGGUGCACAGAGGAGCAGGAAGGGGCUGGGAGAAGGCUGGGGCCGGAUCAUGCAGGACAGGCUGGAGGAAGGGGCUUGAAUUGUCUUCUGACCACUGAGGGGAUAUAAACAUGAGGGCAAAAUCAUCUGAUUUCCAUGUGCAAAGGCCCACUCUGGCUGCUCUAGAGAGAACAGAUGAUUGCAGGGUAAAAGUGGAUUUAGAGAGGUCAGAUGGAGGCUGGGUACGUGCCGUGUAUGGUAGAUAGCAUGCUACCAAAUACACUCACAGGUAGCCCUAUUAUCUCCAUUUCACAGAUGAGCAAGUCAAGAUGCAGAAGGACUCUCUGGCUUGUCCAAGGUCACACGGCUGUUAGGAGCAGAGCAGCGUCCUGGUGCCCAAGCCCUGAGGUCCCCAGCACACUGCCUCUGCAAUGGCCACAACUGUCCAAAGACUAAGCUGACUCUCACACCUGGUAGUGUCUGUGGUCAUUCACUGUGGAUGGAAGUGGAGAAAUGCAGAAAACAGAAACACAGCUUCCCCUUUUCUGUCAUAUUUCUGUAUCGUUGGUGUUUGGAGCCAGUUGAGCACAAAGGGCCCCUGAGUGCUGUUUCCUUGUGAUAUUUGGGGGUUAACAGCUUCCCCUCAUCUCUUAAUUACCUGCCCUCCUUCACUUCAGCUGCACAUUCGUUAAAGAAUGCUCUCCCAGGAGAAGAGCUUGGUGUUAUCACCCACAAACAUCUUAGAAAACUAAUGCUAUCCUUGAGUGCCUGUUUACAGAAACAUUUUUACAUCUCACUUGACAUUUCCAGCAAAUCUUGAUCCUUCCAGCCAGGAAUAUUAAUAUAUAGGUCUUGAAAAGUGCAAGAGGCUCUUCCAUGGCUCCAAGCACAUUUGACACUCUUCCUUUUCUGAUCCCCAAGCAGACAGUGAUGAAACCCCAAUAGCUGGGCGAAUACUCAUCCAACAGGAAGAAUCAGUUUUAAGAGCUGGGUUCUCAGGGUCAAAUACUGUGGUGUGGCCUUUUGGUUGUAAUGAGUUGAAUGGAGGUCUCAAAAAAGAUAUAUCCAUGUUCUAAUCCCCAGAACUUGUGAAUGUGACCUUAUUUGGAAAAAGAGUCCUUUUGGAUGUAAUUAAGUUAAGGAUUUUGAGAUAAGGAGAUCAUCCUGGGUUAUCUGGGUGGACCCUAAAUCUGUUGACAAUGUCCUUAUGAGAGACCCCAGAGGGCACAGACAGGAAAGGAAGAGGCAAUGUGGCCCCAGAGGCUGAGAUCAGAGCUCUGUGGCCACAAUUCGAGGAACACCUGGAGCCACCAGAAGCUGGAGGAGGCAAGGAACAGAUUCUCCCUGAUCCUCUGGAUACAGAGGGAGAAUAGCCUGGCCGACACCUUGAUUUUGGACUUCUGGCCCCCAGAACUGAGAAAAUUAACUUCUGUUGUGUUAAGCAGCCACGUUUGUAGCAGUUCAUCAUAGCAGCCCUGGGAAAGAAAUACAGUGGGCUUCCAGUUCAAGGAGGAUCCACGAGGCCUGAGCUCCAUCUGUCGAUUGGAAUCACCAAAAUCAAGGUUGUGUGCGGGUAACGCCAGCACAAGCAGCUCAUGCUGGCAAAAGCAGACCAAACCGGCUCACGCAACGUCAAGUCAUCUUGAAGUGGUUCACGCACCACAGAGCAGACCUGCAGAGGGGCCAGAAGACACCUGGCCGGGUGGGGAGCAGCCCCUCCGUAAUAACAAUCGGAACCUGGGAAGAUAAGUAGAGUCCCAGGGGAGGGACAGAGUUUCCCCUGUGUCACCACAUGGCUACUUUGACACAAAUGCACGUGGGCAGAGAGAGGCAUGCAGGUCAAGGGCCUGGCAGGGAGUCAGGGGCCCUCAGUGCCAGUCCUGGCUCUGCCUCUGCCUCUGACACGCCAUGUGACCUUGAGCAAGUCACCACCCUGUCUGGGCUUCGCUAACCCAUAUACGGAAUGAGAAGGUAUCGUCCCUGGUCACUGCAGGUUUUAAAUCAUGUAGUGAGAGAGAGCUCAUUUGGUCCAACUCUCUGCAACUGAAGGAAUGGAGACACCAAGGGGGAGUAAUCGGCCGCAGUGAUGAGUGGGUGGCAAAGGGAGCUAUCACUACCAUUGAUUAUCCAGCUACUUGUGCUUGAUAAACUCCCUCCUGGUGGAAUGGGCUUUCCCACAUCCAGCAGCACAAAUGCUGUGAGCAUCUACUACGGGCUGGGCACCUUCUCUGGGCUGGCACUUGACAUGGGUUAUCUCAUUUAACUCCCUAACAACCCUAUGUGGUAUUAUCAUCCCCAUUUCACAGGCGGCAAAACUGAAUCCCAGAGAGAAGACUCACUCAGACACAGCUAUCUGAACACUCUUUUCCAGUUCCCCUAGGGCAGCAGAGGAAGCAAGGUGGGGGGAAGCCAGUGGUCAAGGAUUCCAUGCGGAAUGUACCCUAGAAUUAACCCAUGGAGAGAGGGUAAGGGAACGGGCUCAGGCCUGGGAAGAAGUGGGGAGGACAGUGUCCUGUUGACCUAUUCAAAAACAUCCAGUUUUAGUUAAUUUUUAGUUCAUUAGUCACCACUUUUUAUUAGUAUCUCAUGUAUUCUUUCACAGUUUCUUUCUGCAGGUACAAAAAUAAUGAUUUUUUUUCUUUCUUUUUCUUCUUUGAGACAGGGUCUCGCUCUGUUGCCCAGGCUGUAGUACAAUG
rnacentral:lncRNA from 1 species